AUUGAACGCUGGCGGCAGGCCUAACACAUGCAAGUCGGACGGUAGCACAGNGGAGCUUGCUCCUCGGGUGACGAGUGGCGGACGGGUGAGUAAUGUCUGGGGAUCUGCCCGAUAGAGGGGGAUAACCACUGGAAACGGUGGCUAAUACCGCAUAACGUCGCAAGACCAAAGAGGGGGACUUCGGGCCUCUCACUAUCGGAUGAACCCAGAUGGGAUUAGCUAGUAGGCGGGGUAACGGCCCACCUAGGCGACGAUCCCUAGCUGGUCUGAGAGGAUGACCAGCCACACUGGAACUGAGACACGGUCCAGACUCCUACGGGANGCAGCAGUGGGGAAUAUUGCANNAAUGGGCGCAAGCCUGAUGCAGCCAUGCCGCGUGUAUGAAGAAGGCUUCGGGUUGUAAAGUACUUUCAGCGGGGAGGAAGGCGAUGUGGUUAAUAACCGCAUUGAUUGACGUUACCCGCAGAAGAAGCACCGGCUAACUCCGUGC
rnacentral:rRNA from 1 species